rnacentral:rRNA from 1 species
CAGGGAAUCUUGCACAAUGGGCGAAAGCCUGAUGCAGCGACGCCGCGUGGGGGAUGAAGGCCUUAGGGUCGUAAACCCCCUUCAGCAGGGACGAAAAUGACGGUACCUGCAGAAGAAGCCCCGGCCAACUACGUGCCAGCAGCCGCGGUAAGACGUAGGGGGCGAGCGUUGUCCGGAUUUAUUGGGCGUAAAGAGCUCGUAGGCGGUUGCGUAAGUCGGAUGUGAAACUCAGGGCUCAACCCUGAGACGCCAUCCGAUACUGCGCUGACUUGAAUCCAGUAGGGGAGUGUGGAAUUCCUGGUGUAGCGGUGAAAUGCGCAGAUAUCAGGAGGAACACCCAUGGCGAAGGCAGCACUCUGGGCUGGUAUUGACGCUGAGGAGCGAAAGCAUGGGUAGCGAACAGGAUUAGAUACCCCCGUAGUCCCUGANCGGGCUGGCAAG